UACGUAGGGGGCGAGCGUUGUCAGGAAUUAUUGGGCGUAAAGGGCGCGUAGGCGGGUAUUUAAGUCUUGCGUGAAAGAUCAGGGCUCAACCCUGAGAGUGCAUAUGAAACUGGGUAUCUUGAGGACAGGAGAGGAAAGUGGAAUUCCACGUGUAGCGGUGAAAUGCGUAGAUAUGUGGAGGAACACCAGUGGCGAAGGCGACUUUCUGGACUGUAACUGACGCUGAGGCGCGAAAGCUUGGUGAGCAAACAGG
rnacentral:rRNA from 1 species